rnacentral:rRNA from 1 species
UACAGAGGUCUCAAGCGUUGUUCGGAUUCAUUGGGCGUAAAGGGUGCGUAGGCGGCGCGGUAAGUCGGGUGUGAAAUCUCGGGGCUCAACCCCGAGCGGUCGUGGGAAACUGGCAGGCUAGAGUGCGGGAGAGGAGAAUGGAAUUCCUGGUGUAGCGGUGAAAUGCGCAGAUAUCAGGAAGAACACCCGUGGCGAAGGCGGUUCUCUGGAACGCAACUGACGCUGAGACGCGAAAGCGUGGGGAGCGAACAGG